UCCUUACGGCCUAGAAGUGUCGAUGAGCAGUUGAGGCAAAUUAUUGAUACAUAAGUAAUACAAAUUAUCAUAAUGGAUGAUAAAAGAGUUGGAAUAUACUUUGAUAUAAUUUUGAUUUUUUACAGGGCAAUGGCCAUGUAUGCUUCAGAAAGUGGUGCCAACAUAAGGGUUAAACUCGUAUGGAUUAACGCUAGGGAGGUACUGAAUGCGGCUACUAUGUGAUGAAGUUCAUGAAGGAGAUAGCUUACGAAGGAGUUGAAAUACUUGACAAUGAUAAUGUUGGGAAAGGAGUAGAAGAAUACUCGGCUGCGGAUAUGGAUGGCAUACGUGAAGAUUGGUCGACUUAUGUGGUUAACUCUCUUUUUAA